rnacentral:rRNA from 1 species
UGAAGGAGGAGCUUGCUUCUCCGGAUGAGUUGCGAACGGGUGAGUAACGCGUAGGUAACCUGCCUGGUAGCGGGGGAUAACUAUUGGAAACGAUAGCUAAUACCGCAUAAUAGUAGAUGUUGCAUGACAUUUGCUUAAAAGGUGCAAUUGCAUCACUACCAGAUGGACCUGCGUUGCAUUAGCUAGUUGGUGGGGUAACGGCUCACCAAGGCGACGAUACAUAGCCGACCUGAGAGGGUGAUCGGCCACACUGGGACUGAGACACGGCCCAGACUCCUACGGGAGGCAGCAGUAGGGAAUCUUCGGCAAUGGACGGAAGUCUGACCGAGCAACGCCGCGUGAGUGAAGAAGGUUUUCGGAUCGUAAAGCUCUGUUGUAAGAGAAGAACGAGUGUGAGAGUGGAAAGUUCACACUGUGACGGUAUCUUACCAGAAAGGGACGGCUAACUACGUGCCAGCAGCCGCGGUAAUACGUAGGUCCCGAGCGUUGUCCGGAUUUAUUGGGCGUAAAGCGAGCGCAGGCGGUUAGAUAAGUCUGAAGUUAAAGGCUGUGGCUUAACCAUAGUACGCUUUGGAAACUGUUUAACUUGAGUGCAAGAGGGGAGAGUGGAAUUCCAUGUGUAGCGGUGAAAUGCGUAGAUAUAUGGAGGAACACCGGUGGCGAAAGCGGCUCUCUGGCUUGUAACUGACGCUGAGGCUCGAAAGCGUGGGGAGCAAACAG